AGUUUCCUUUAGACCAGAGGACAUUCUGUGCUCUCAGAACAGAAUGCUACACAUGGGAACGAGGUAAAGGGAGGCUUUGAGAGGUCAGCCAACAAGGUCCCUGCUUCAAGCCUAAAACCAAUGUAAUUAGGCUAAGAUUGAACAGGAUAAGGCUUUGCAAGGAACUUCUCUGGCAUGUGAGGAUUAUCCCAGCAGUGCAUGUUUCCACGCAAGGUUCAGAGCCCAGAAGAAAUCAGCAUGGAAUAAAAAGAGUCAAGGUUGGAGCCCCCAAAUAACUUAGCAAGAAUGCCAGGAACAUCAUGCUGUCUCCUCUCACCUCCACGCUGGUGCAUAUGCUGCCCUUCCUCCCUGGAAUGCCCUUGUCUUCCAGAGGCUGCUUCAUUUGAGAGCCUUCCCUGAUUCAUCUAGGCAAAUUAACAGAUAAUAACUGUUUUAUCUAAAUAUUAAACUCCUGAAGGCAGGGUC